rnacentral:rRNA from 1 species
GCCUAAAGCGUCCGUAGCCUGUUCUAUAAGUUUCCGGUUAAAUCCAUUAGCUCAACUAAUGGGCUGCCGAAAAUACUGUAGAACUAGGGAGUGGGAGAGGUAGACGGUAUUCGGUAGGAAGGGGUAAAAUCCUUUGAUCUAUUGAGGACCACCUGUGGCGAAGGCGGUCUACCAGAACACGUUCGACGGUGAGGGAUGAAAGCUGGGGGAGCAAACCGGAUUAGAUACCCGGGUAGUCCCAGCCGUAAACGAUGCAGACUCGGUGAUGCGCUGGCUUGUGGCCAGUGCAGUGCCGCAGGGAAGCCGUUAAGUUUGCCGCCUGGGAAGUACGUACGCAAGUAUGAAACUUAAAGGAAUUGGCGGGGGAGCACCACAAGGGGUGAAGCCUGCGGUUCAAUUGGAGUCAACGCCAGAAAUCUUACCCGAAGAGACAGCAGAAUGAAGGUCAAGCUGGAGACUUUACCAGACAAGCUGAGAAGUGGUGCAUGGCCGUCGCCAGCUCGUGCCGUGAGAUGUCCUGUUAAGUCAGGUAACGAGCGAGAUCCCUGCCUCUAGUUGCCACCAUUACUCUCAGGAGUAGUGGGGCGAAUUAGCGGGACCGCCGCAGUUAAUGCGGAGGAAGGAAGGGGCCACGGCAGGUCAGUAUGCCCCGAA